GACGAACGCUGGCGGCGUGCCUAAUACAUGCAAGUAGGACGCAGUUGCGAACGGGUGAGUAACGCGUAGGUUACUGCCUAUUAGAGGGGGAUAACUAUUGGAAACGAUAGCUAAUACCGCAUUCUAGUAGAUGGACCUGCGUUGUAUUAGUUAGUUGGUAGGGUAAUGGCUUACCUAGGCAAGGAUACAUAGCCGAACUGAGAGGGUGAGCGGCCACACUGAGACUGGGACACGGCACAGUCUCCUACGGGAGGCAGCAGGAGGGAAUCUGCGGGAAUGGGGGGAGACCUGACCGAGCAACGCCGCAGGAGUGAGGAAUGUUUUCGGGUCGUAAAGCACUGUUGUUAAGGAAGCGGUACUUAACCAGAAAGGGACGGCUAACUACGUGCCAGCAGCCGCGGUAAUAC
rnacentral:rRNA from 1 species